ACUCAGAAGUCGAGUGGGCACGUGCGGUAGUUGCUGUGGCACCAUCUCCAUUGACUGUCAUGCUGCUUCAUCCCCUCUGCAGAGGUUACACUUGUCAACCUCCAGAGAAGGCACAGGAUGGAUAAUGAUGUUCUAAACUAUGAAUGCACAGUGAAUUUGAAGAUAUCAUUGAUUUUAUUAAUUCAAAGAGAGCAUAAGGACAUUAUGGAGGAAAUAUAUCACAGUGGUUAAGGAAACAGCUUCUGGAGCCAGACUGUCUAGGUCCAAAUUCUGGCUCUGAUACUUGCUGGCUUGGCACUUUAUCUUUCAGGUGUCUUGAGGCAUCCAUCAUCCUGGAAGAAGACUAUGAUUUAUAACAGAAGGAAUGCAAAAAUAAAGAACAAGUUAAUAUUUCUCUUUUGGCAUGUCAAAUAGAAUUAUUCAGCAAGACGAUAACCUUGCAAGCCAGGCGUUGUCUUGAAAAACCAUUUCCAAAUUUCUUUAAUCCUUCCCUUUGGCUUUUCAACAAUGCAGCCUGAUUGAACCAGUUUAUGGAGUUCUCCCCAAGUGCAGAGAAAAUACCCACAUCCUUUAUUAGGGUAUCUCUAAGAAACUGAAGUAUGGAGGGCAUGAUGCAGGGGAAAUCUGUCAUUUUGGGGCCCUUUGUGAUAGAGAGAAAGAGAGAGAAAGGAGGAAGAAGAAGAUGAGAGAAUCAGUUUUGAUCAUGUAUUCUCCCAGCUUUGGCCCAGAAAAUAGGGAGGCCUAUUGGAUGAGUGGGGAUAUCACCAAGGGCAGAGGAAGCUUUUGUCCUUCUCCCUGCUUGAGACUCUGCAGAAUAGACUGUCAUCCUGGGGUGUGACCACAUCCACAUGGCAGUGUGGUAUGACCUGGCAGAGGGAGGCCUUGACACUUAGUUUUCCUGAGCCAUUCUUAUUUCCAGUGAGGCACAGAUGGACCCAGAAAAUGGUGGGAGUUUGGCUGGGGAGUAAUACCAAUGGGAGUCACCAUGGUUGGGCAAGGUCAAGGUACUCCGUAGCAAGGGCUGCCCAGUGGACCACCUGGGCCAGGCCAAUUGGAGUCACAGCAAAUGGGAAGGAGUCUAGACCCAAUAGAUGAGUCCAAAAAGCUGCAGAGAGUGAGAGCUAGCAAGGCAGUCCCCUGGGCUCUGAUCUGCUGAGGAAAGCCUAGGCCGUAAGUUACUCUUGUACAGACACAGACUUCAGCUGUGAAUCCCAGUAGGGUAAGAUGCAUGCAGGUGGAUCAGGGACUUCCACCUAACCCUGCCUAGAAGAGUAAGAGGAAUCUGACGUUUUGCCUGCCGCGAAGGUGUUCAAGCUCCACCUGUCCCUCUUCAUAUGCAGAUGUCAUCUUGGAGGGGAGCUAGAAGACUGAUGUGUUUGAGAAACUAAGCCUUUAUUUCCCCUCAGAGGGGACCAUUCUUUGAAGGGACCAUUUAAAUUAUCGUGUAAUACGAAGGUUCAAACUUUAUUAGAUAUUAAAACAAUGAGGUUGUCCUUU